rnacentral:rRNA from 1 species
UACGGAGGAUGCGAGCGUUAUCCGGAUUUAUUGGGUUUAAAGGGUGCGCAGGCGGUCUGUUAAGUCAGCGGUCAAAGCCCGGGGCUCAACCCCGGCCCGCCGUUGAAACUGCAUCCCUUGAGUGCGGCGGAGGCAUGCGGAAUGCGCGGUGUAGCGGUGAAAUGCAUAGAUAUCGCGCAGAACCCCGAUUGCGAAGGCAGCGUGCCGUGCCGCCACUGACGCUGAGGCACGAAAGCGCGGGGAUCGAACAGG